rnacentral:rRNA from 1 species
GACGAACGCUGGCGGCGUGCUUAACACAUGCAAGUCGAACGGUAAGGCCCUUCGGGGUACACGAGUGGCGAACGGGUGAGUAACACGUGGGUGAUCUGCCCUGCACUUCGGGAUAAGCCUGGGAAACUGGGUCUAAUACCGGAUAGGACUCCGGACUGCAUGGUCUGGGGUGGAAAGCUUUUGCGGCGUGGGAUGGGCCCGCGGCCUAUCAGCUUGUUGGUGGGGUGAUGGCCUACCAAGGCGACGACAGGUAGCCGGCCUGAGAGGGUGACCGGCCACACUGGGACUGAGAUACGGCCCAGACUCCUACGGGAGGCAGCAGUGGGGAAUAUUGCACAAUGGGCGCAAGCCUGAUGCAGCGACGCCGCGUGAGGGAUGACGGCCUUCGGGUUGUAAACCUCUUUCAGCAUCGACGAAGCGAAAGUGACGGUAGGUGCAGAAGAAGGACCGGCCAACUACGUGCCAGCAGCCGCAGUAA